GACAGACAGACCACAGACAGACUGACCACAGACGGAGUGACAGACAGACCACAGACAGACUGACCACAGACGGACUGACCACAGACAGAGUGACAGACAGACCACAGACAGACUGACCCCACAGUGUGUAGAGGCUUUAAGAGACGCAGCACAAGUGAGACGAUAAUCUGUAUUUAAAUCUGUGCAUCGACUCCACGAGGUCGGUUCAGAGUCCUUCGUGCUGCACGCCGAGCUGCUCCACAUGAAACUUUAAGACAACGCAGAGCAACGUCUGACUUUUGGCAUGGGAUCAGCAGUAAGGCAGUAAUCUGUCUCCAAACUGGCAGAAAACUUUCAGAAUAAAAUCACUGACCACGGGCAGACUCAGCAGAUCUGAUUGGUUCAGUCAGUUUGACCGAACUGAAACAAACGUCGGUGUGUUAACGGGUCAGCUGACUAACGUGUUCAUGUUACUCGUCACGGCUCGUUAGCUAAUGCGAGCUGGAUCUCGGCAGAUGUUCAACAUCGAGGUUCCUUUAAAGUUUUUCCUAGCCGCUGUCGCUAACGCUAGCUCAUAGUGGGAACUGUUGGUCUGACGUGUACGUAAUUAUAUCUCAUCAAGCUAGUUCACACUGUUAACUAACUUAGCAUGGUUAGCACAGUGUAGCUUCAUGCUAAUGUUGAGUCCACCAUGUUUGUAGGACUAAAAGACAAACUGCGUUUGAAUCCGCGGCUGUUGAACGGCACAGACGCUCUGAUUGGUCGGUCGGCGCUGGGGGUCAUGUGACGUGGAAAUCGUCGUGCACAGAUGAAUAAUCAGACAAACAGUGAAAACAUUAAACAUGCAGAGUUCAGGCCAGCAGAGGUAUUUGAACUGAUUGUGUGCUUUAACAUGAGGCUUCUUUCAAUGUUCUCACUGUUUCUCUGACCACAGACAUUUCUGUGUAUUUAUUCUUAGUCAGACGGAUAUCUUAUUUUUAGUCUUUCUUUAUUGACCCAUGCAUGUUGUUAUAUCUGUAAUAAACACAUACAUGUUUUAUAAAUCCAGAACAUGUUUAUUAACCAUGUUACUAAGUAGAGAUGUUUUAUUAACUCAUGCGUAUGUUUGUCAUAAACAUAUGUCAUGCAUAUGUUUCAUAAUAAAUCUGUUGUUUUCAUUUCUGUUUUAUUCAUCUGUGUGACUUUUAUCAGUCCACACUCACACCUGUUCAUUUUAUUAAUAAGACAUGCAUUUGUAUCCAUGUGUGUGUUUUAAUAAUCUGUGCAUAUAUUUCCUGACUCCAUGUGGACAUAUCAUCUGUAACGUGUACAUACAUGUAGAGUUUAUUCAUGCGUGCAGACAGACUUCCACAGCACUUCGACGCCCCGUGUUUGUUUGGUCAAAGCACCAAGAAGAAGUGACACGUCUGUGUCGGAGUGGUUUGAAGUGAGCGUGGCUGUUCACGGACUGUGAGGAGUUCAUGUGAUGCUUCAUAGGAGUUACUGCUCCGCCGAACAAACGUGGACUUUGUUCACUUUAGUCUGAGGAGACUCUCAGUCAUCCAGGUCAUCGUGUCUGUUGAAGGCAGUUUAGUUUCCUGAAAACCAAGGAAGGACCAGCAGUGAGGAUAGGGGGUCUCUAUCUGUCAGCUACGUACGAUAAGAAUCAGUUCAGCAACCAUCUACACCAUGUGAACCCAACAACACACGAGGGCAGGGGGAAACAACGACCACAGGCGUCCGUAACGACCCACAGGCGUCCGUAACGACACACAGGUGUCUGUAAUGACCCACAGGUUUCCGUAACGACACACAGGUGUCUGUAACGACCCACACAUGUCCGUAACAACCCACAGGUUUCCAUAACGACACACAGGUGUCUGUAACGACCCACACAUGUCCGUAACGACCCAUACGUGUCCGUAACGACCCACAGGUGUCCAUAACGACCCACAGGUGAGCGUAACGACCCACAGGUGUCCAUAACGACCCACAGGUGUCCGUAACGACCCACAGGUGUCUGUAACGACCCACACGUGUCCGUAACGACCCACAGGCGUCCGUAACGACCCAAACAUGUCCGUAACGACCCAAACAUGUCCGUAACGACCCACAGGUGUCCGUAAUGAUCCGCAGGUGGCCGUAAUGACCCACAGGUGGCCUUGACGACCAACACGUGUCUGUAACGACCCGCAGGUGUCCUUGACGACCCACGUGUCUGUAACGACCCACAGGUGGUCUUGACAACCCCCAUCCAAGACCUGCUGGUUGAAGGGGUGUGUCCAUGAGUCACAUGCCUUUCACCCCACACAGGUAAACACCUGGACUCCUCAGCGGUCAGUCUGAAGACGAAACAUCUCCAUGAAACUAACUAAACUCAUCAGAGCACGAUGACCUUCAGAGGUGGUGAUUAAAUUGUUAAUAUGGCACAAACUCUUUAAAGAACAUCAUCACACUCAUUAAAAAAAAACAACAACCAACAAACAGGAGGAGAUUGUGCAUUUGUUGGGGACUAUUUUCAGCAGCGGAUGAAUCCUCAUCCAACAAAAACAGAUCAUCACCAGACUGUUUUUUAACACAAGCUGCAGCUUUUCUUGGUUUUUGUGUUUGUUUGCAUUGUUAGCAUGCUAAUGUUUCCCGUUUCAAUGUUUGAAUUUAGCAUGCUACCGUUUCUUUUAGCACACACAAGUAUUAGCCCCUGAGUAAUGUUUUAGCAUGCUAACAGAGUCAUUAGCAUGCAUGGUCUUUUCUGUAAAAUAUUAGCUUUGUAAUGUUUGUUAGCACACUAGAAUGAGGAGCAUAUUAGCACAUUAGCUUUAGUAUGCUAGCAAAAAUUAACAUAGCAAGCUAAAAGGGCUAAACUGUGCAUGGUGUCACUGCCGGGCGUUGAAGGUGAUUUUAAAAAGACUUCUGUGACAGGCUGGACGCUGAGCUCAAGGAGUAAAAAAAGUUGGAAAGAUGAGACGUUUAAUAACGAAGCAGAUCAAGCUAACGCAGAGACGCGUGGUGACGCUCAGACUCGAGGUUUUGGCGGGAAAUCAUCUGGAUUGUUUAUGGCACACGACAGGAAGAGGGCGCUGUUCUUUCAGGAAAAAACAACAACAACACAACUUUACUAAAAAAUACACAAA